rnacentral:rRNA from 1 species
GACGAACCACACAAACGUUAUUCGGAAUUACUGGGCUUAAAGGGUGCGUAGGCUGUGCAGAAAGUUGGGUGUGAAAUCCCCCGGCUCAACCGGGGAACUGCGCCCAAAACUACUGCACUUGAGGGAGACAGAGGUGAGCGGAACUUAGGGUGGAGCGGUGAAAUGCGUUGAUAUCCUAAGGAACACCCGUGGCGAAAGCGGCUCACUGGGUCUCUUCUGACGCUGAGGCACGAAAGCUAGGGUAGCGAACGGG